UACAUAGAGGAGGGCGGCUGCGCUAGAGCUUCGCCCUACGAAGUAUGCAUAGCUUGCGCCAGCCUUCAGCA
rnacentral:tRNA from 1 species